rnacentral:rRNA from 1 species
GACGAACGCUGGCGGCGUGCCUAAUACAUGCAAGUAGGACGCACAGUUUAUACCGUAGCUUGCUACACCAUAGACUGUGAGUUGCGAACGGGUGAGUAACGCGUAGGUAACCUACCUAUUAGAGGGGGAUAACUAUUGGAAACGAUAGCUAAUACCGCAUAACAGUAUGUAACACAUGUUAGAUGCUUGAAAGAUGCAAUUGCAUCGCUAGUAGAUGGACCUGCGUUGUAUUAGCUAGUAGGUAGGGUAAAGGCCUACCUAGGCAACGAUACAUAGCCGACCUGAGAGGGUGAUCGGCCACACUGGGACUGAGACACGGCCCAGACUCCUACGGGAGGCAGCAGUAGGGAAUCUUCGGCAAUGGGGGGAACCCUGACCGAGCAACGCCGCGUGAGUGAAGAAGGUUUUCGGAUCGUAAAGCUCUGUUGUUAAGGAAGAACGAGUGUGAGAAUGGAAAGUUCAUGCUGUGACGGUACUUAACCAGAAAGGGACGGCUAACUACGUGCCAGCAGCCGCGGUAAUACGUAGGUCCCGAGCGUUGUCCGGAUUUAUUGGGCGUAAAGCGAGCGCAGGCGGUUAGAAAAGUCUGAAGUGAAAGGCAGUGGCUCAACCAUUGUAGGCUUUGGAAACUGUUUAACUUGAGUGCAGAAGGGGAGAGUGGAAUUCCAUGUGUAGCGGUGAAAUGCGUAGAUAUAUGGAGGAACACCGGUGGCGAAAGCGGCUCUCUGGUCUGUAACUGACGCUGAGGCUCGAAAGCGUGGGGGAGCGAACAGG